CGAAAUACACCCUCAUUGAAUUAUUUGUUAUUUUCGUUAAAUUUUUUAAAUUUUAUUAAAAGUCAGCAGGGACAAAUUACAAUUAUAUUAUGAGCAAAUGAAAAAUUUGAUUGAAAUUGAACAUUUCAAAUGAAGCACCAUGUCGCUGCCACGGGCUCCUUUGCUGUGACUAGCUGGUCAAAGGAAUAGAUUUAAUUUGUAGUGAAAACUGAAAAAUAAAUGGAGUGCAAGGUGAAACAAAUUUAAUAAUAAUUUCCAUAAACAAAUUGAUACUCCUUAGUCCUUACAAUUUUUUAAAGAAAAGAAAAUUCCCUUACUCGUUUCACCUAUUUCCUCGCACCUUCGUUAAUAUUAAUCUCUUUACUCUUCUUCUUCAGCUUUAGCCCCUGUUCAAGAAACUUCCCAAUUCCCAACGUUUCUCAGAACCUCAGACUAUAAAAUCCCAAAAAACAAAACCGCGUAAAAAUUAGCCAUUUAGCAUAAUUAUCCAAAAAGUCAAGUCACCGUCAAACACNNNNN
rnacentral:lncRNA from 1 species